AUGGAGUCGGCGACCAAGCAGGACCUGAAGGAUCUCCUGAAGGAGUUCCGAGAGAGCAUGAAGGAGAGCAUCAGGGAGGCUGUCGCGGUCGGGUUCGGCAACUCGAAGCCGGCAUUCGAGCAGGCGACCAUCUCGACCUCUUCUCAGUUCCUCGCCAUGGACGCCUCCGAUGACAAGGAUCUGGCACCUGCGUGCUCCAGCCCCGAACAAGGCACGUAUGCCCUCGACUUCGCCCCAACGACCACAAUCGAUGCUCUUCCCGAGCUCGACAUUGACGCCACGGGCGUUGCUGCACCAACGCCCACAACCUGCUCGACGGAUGGCCUCAUCCACAGCACCGAUGGAGACGAUAGGAUGGAGGCGUCGAAGGCUGCUUGGGAUUCGUCUACGCCCUUCACCGCACGUCCAGGGGACUCACCAACACCAAUGAGUGAGCCAUCUGUCGGCCUUGCACUCGGUACGCUGGCGCAGACCAAGUGUUUGGCAGAAUGCUCAGGCCAAGUUGAUGCGUCCGUCACGGCCAGUGUUAUCUUAGCGACUGCUGGCUGCAUGCCCACUAUCUGUUCGACCGAGUGGGUCACCCAUGCUGACAGUCGCAUCAUCGACUCAUCGUCAACAACCCUACCCAUUCGGCUCGCAGCUGCAGCGGUGCAUCGUUCGUGGGUGCAGACAGUGCCACUGCACCCACCGGACCUGAGGUUAUUUUUUUGGUGGGACCAUGGGUGUCUAAUGAGUGGCUGUGGUGAUUUGGAAAGAGUGAUUCAUCCUAGCCCAAAUGAAAGUUUAUGCACAAGGCAAUGUCAAGAGGUAAAACCCUCGUGUCUGUUUCAUGGGAUGUCUAUUUCUUGGCAAUGGUUGGUACACUGGCUAGUCUAUGGAGUUGAUUUACGUCAAAUUCCGUGUCCAUCAUUUUCAAAUGGUGAGCCACCAGAUGUGGAUUGUUCCAGUGUUGCCAAUUGGGACCCCCAUAUGCCUAUUUCUGUUGAUGACAAGUUCCCGAAGCAUCUGUUUCUAAGUGUUCAAGUGCAUGAUAGUGGAAUGGUUGUAGUUCCCUCUCUGACCUUGAUACGACUCCUUACUGUACUUGAGGCACCAUUCACAAUCCAUGGAGGGUUUCAUCUCAUAGAUGGCCUCUGGGGCUGGUCACUACAUCUGUUCGGACGCGUAAAGAAGAUAUCCGAUGAUAAGCGAGAUGCCCAAUGUAGCUUGGUCUAUCUUAAGUUACAGCAACAUGGAUUGUUUGUUGUACAUCUUACUGAUGGAAAUUCUCUCUGUUCAUGCCACUAUACUGAUGCACUUGCUUUUGAGUGGGGCUACAACCAUAUUUCUUACAGACAACUUCUAGAGAUCUGUUGCAAGCGACUGAAGUGUAAAUGGAGAAUACAAUCUGGGCUAGUACAGACCACAUUCAGCCGAAUUGGUGCAGUAACCAGUGGAACAAUGGGACUGUUGGUUGUGCAAUUACCAGAGUGUAUUGAUGACCAACUAGCAGAAUUGCUGAAGGAAAAUUUUAAUGAGAUGCCAAAGUGCAGUGUUACUCCUAUAUCUUGUGAGAGUGGAUGUAAGCUGCAUAACACAUCAUUCUUUAUCUGGCGGACAAGUGUUGUCUGCCUUCUUCUCUGUUGCUAUGAUCAAUUUCAAUGGAAGCUGGCUGGGUUAUGCUAUCACCUGUCUAACUGUUGUCCAGUGACACUACUUGGGCUGCCGGUGUCAGCAAACUGUUUGACUCGGAGAUAUGCAGGUCACAAGAACCAGGUCUACCACAUGAAGUUGUCUCAUUCUAAUCAUUGUCAAGAGGGAAUAAACUUGCAAGUGGAGCAGAUAUGGUGUGCAAUUACGAGUAAUACUAUUGAUGCUUAUCCUUGUGGUGGUGAAGACCAUGCACGUGAAUCAUUGUUCAACAUGGAGCUUGUACAUGCGAAGGAGUUCGAUGUGCAUGGCAUAGAAGUUUCCCUACGCAACAAGAUCAUAUUUGUGUUUGAAUUUCACUUGCAUGUUGUUGCCAGGUGGAGCUCUUACGGUGUAAACUUUGGUGAAAUGGAAAACCAAGUGUAUGUGCAAACACAUUCCAUUGGAUCGUUGGCCGGGGCACCUCUACAGAAGCAGCAAAUGGAGCUGCAAUAUUAUGGAAAUUGUGCCAUUAACUCUCUUCAUCUGCACCGAUUGGUGGCAAGGAAGGGGAGAGCAACAGGUUCAUUGUUUGAUAAAUUCUUGGAGGCUUCCAUUAUGUGCAUAAACUGUGAGGACCACUGCCGGGGCUUCCUAAGCUCACUUCUAUCUGAUUGGCCGAAGUUUGAGAAUAGCAUCACAGAACUGAAGGAAUAUCGGGACCAGGGUGGCUUUAGACUGCAAUUUUCUUUCAAUGUUAUGCCCAUCUUACAAGGGCACUGGUGCUUUGGAAAUGUUAAUAGCCUGUUGAUUCCUCCUGGUUCGAAUGGGAAGUAUUAUCUCUAUGCUCAUUGUUGGGUGCUCCAAGUUUGCCAAGAUAGUUCACAUGGACUGAUCAAGAAGUCCAGUGCAUGGUAUUCGUUUAUCACAAGGUUCAGCGUCUGGGUGCCGGGCGUGCCAAUGAUAGCAUGGUCAGUAUGCAUGGCGUUAAUUCGGACUAACUUUGAGAGAUGGCGGACUACUUGUUUGCAGUGUUUGGAACAACACCAAUGGUUAUCAAUGUUGCCGGCGUGUACAUCUCGGAUCUGGUUGGUAGCAUGGCCCAUGGAUGGGGUGGAGCUCUGGAUUCACUGUGGGCACGCAAUUUUUCAAGGAGGGAGGAUCUUCAUGGUCGUCGCCACCUUUGUCGACCACAACUACUACCUCGACGUCAUCCUCAACUUGGUUCCCAUCGGCCAUGAUGACUACUUCGGCAACCUGGGCAAGCAAGCUUGCUACUUUGAUCGAGUCUACACCCAUCUUGGCUACUAUCAGGAAGAUUACCAUGGCGAUCCUAGCAAGAUCAAGGAACUUCAAGCGCCGUGGGAUCCUGGCAAGUCAACCUUCCAGUCUUCUUCUGAGCUUCGGCUUGGGGUCAAGCCGAGUUUCAAGGAGGGAGGGGUGUUAGCAACCCUCCACGGGUGGGCCGUGGGCCGGCAUGAGAGGGUCGGGCCUAGCAUCUAG
rnacentral:rRNA from 1 species